UGUCUCGGUUGGUUGGAUCCCUGCUUGUGCAGCGACAACCGCUUGUUCAGGCCUUUUCAUUAUUGCUCAAAGAGAUAUCAUGCCUCAUGACGAAAUUGGUUACCUGUGCUGUGUACCUAUGUUUAUGGAAUUCAAUAGUCCAACAGUCCCUCAUUCACUUUGUGCUGCUCAUGUGGCACAGGAUGAACCUUUUAGUUCCCUUUGUUGUCCAUGCACGCAUCUCUUCCUGAAGUUGCGGGCAAUGGCCGACUCUGUGGCACUCGGAUUCUUGGAUACGGAACCUUAUGAGGGCGUGGGGUCUUUGGCCUCUAUUUUGCCAACAAUAAGCGUUCUUGCUUGUUACGAACGACUGCCGUGCCUGCGUUGACAUGAGGGAAUCUAAUGUC
rnacentral:misc_RNA from 1 species